rnacentral:rRNA from 1 species
GUGAGGAAUUUUGCGCAAUGGCCGCAAGGCUGACGCAGCAACGCCGCGUGGGUGAUGAAGGCCUUCGGGUCGUAAAGCCCUGUCAGGUGGGAAGAAAGGCUUGGAGAAGCAACGCUUUGAGUUUGACGGUACCACCAGAGGAAGCACCGGCUAACUCCGUGCCAGCAGCCGCGGUAAUACGGAGGGUGCGAGCGUUAUUCGGAAUUACUGGGCGUAAAGCGCGUGUAGGCGGGGAUGCAAGUCUGAUGUGAAAGCCCUGGGCUUAACCUGGGAAGUGCAUUGGAAACUGCAUUUCUUGAGUACUGGAGAGGAAGGGGGAAUUCCCGGUGUAGAGGUGAAAUUCGUAGAGAUCGGGAGGAAUACCAGUGGCGUAGGCGCCCUUCUGGACGGUAACUGACGCUGAGACGCGAAAGCGUGGGGAGCAAACAGGAUUAGAAACCCCAGUAGUCC